rnacentral:tRNA from 1 species
GGGCGUUUUGAACUGAAUUAGCACCUGCCUUACAAGCAGGGGGUCGGAGGUUCGAGUCCCCCAUCGCCCACCA